UACAGAGGUCUCAAGCGUUGUUCGGAUUCAUUGGGCGUAAAGCGCACGUAGGCGGAUUGUUAAGUCAGGGGUGAAAUCCUGGAGCUCAACUCCAGAACUGCCUUUGAUACUGGCGAUCUCGAGUCCGAGAGAGGUGAGUGGAACUGCGAGUGUAGAGGUGAAAUUCGUAGAUAUUCGCAAGAACACCAGUGGCGAAGGCGGCUCACUGGCUCGGUACUGACGCUGAGGUGCGAAAGCGUGGGGAGCAAACAGG
rnacentral:rRNA from 1 species